rnacentral:rRNA from 1 species
AGCGAACGCUGGCGGCAGGCUUAACACAUGCAAGUCGAACGGGCAUCUUCGGAUGUCAGUGGCAGACGGGUGAGUAACACGUGGGAACGUACCCUUCGGUUCGGAAUAACCCCGGGAAACUUGAGCUAAUACCGGAUACGCCCUUUUGGGGAAAGGUUUACUGCCGAAGGAUCGGCCCGCGUCUGAUUAGCUUGUUGGUGGGGUAACGGCCUACCAAGGCGACGAUCAGUAGCUGGUCUGAGAGGAUGAUCAGCCACACUGGGACUGAGACACGGCCCAGACUCCUACGGGAGGCAGCAGUGGGGAAUAUUGGACAAUGGGCGCAAGCCUGAUCCAGCCAUGCCGCGUGAGUGAUGAAGGCCUUAGGGUUGUAAAGCUCUUUUGUCCGGGACGAUAAUGACGGUACCGGAAGAAUAAGCCCCGGCUAACUUCGUG